GUUUGGAAGAAUAUAAAAGUGAGAUGUAGAUUUCCCAUAAAUACCUCUCUCUCGGGAAAAGGUCAUUGAGCCCAAGAAGAAGGAACAAACUACCUUGUAAAACUCAUCAUUAAACUCAGUUUACUUAGUCCCACUGCACUAUUUAUGACAAGUCACUAAAAUGUCAGCCUAUUCCUCAGUGAAAUGAGUCAUUCUGUUUUACACUAGGGUGCCCAUUAUUGGAUGAUGGGAGUGCUGAGUUAAUGAGCCUUAGAAUCACCUCUUGAACCAGCCUAGCUAACUUAACCAGAUGCUUUCACAGCAU
rnacentral:lncRNA from 1 species